rnacentral:rRNA from 1 species
GACGAACGCUGGCGGCGUGCUUAACACAUGCAAGUCGAACGGUAAGGCCCUUCGGGGUACACGAGUGGCGAACGGGUGAGUAACACGUGGGUGAUCUGCCCUGCACUUCGGGAUAAGCCUGGGAAACUGGGUCUAAUACCGGAUAGGACCACUGCCUGCAUGGGUGGUGGUGGAAAGCUUUGGUGGUGUGGGAUGGGCACGCGGCCUCUCAGGUUGUUGGUGGGGUGAAGACCUACCAAGGCGACGACGGGUAGGCGGCCUGAGAGGGUGACCGGCCACACUGGGACUGAGAUACGGCCCAGACUCCUACGGGAGGCAGCAGUGGGGAAUAUUGCACAAUGGGCGCAAGCCUGAUGCAGCGACGCCGCGUGAGGGAUGACGGCCUUCGGGUUGUAAACCUCUUUCAGCACCGACGAAGCGCAAGUGACGGUAGGUGCAGAAGAAGGACCGGCCAACUACGUGCCAGCCGCCGCCGUAA